rnacentral:rRNA from 1 species
CCUACGGGUGGCAGCAGUGAGGAAUAUUGGUCAAUGGGCGCGAGCCUGAACCAGCCAAGUCGCGUGAGGGAAGACGGUCCUAUGGAUUGUAAACCUCUUUUGUCGGGGAGCAAAAGACGCCACGUGUGGCGUUCCGAGAGUACCCGAAGAAAAAGCAUCGGCUAACUCCGUGCCAGCAGCCGCGGUAAUACGGAGGAUGCGAGCGUUAGCCGGAUUUAUUGGGUUUAAAGGGUGCGCAGGCGGAAGAUCAAGUCAGCGGUAAAAUUGAGAGGCUCAACCUCUUCGAGCCGUUGAAACUGGUUGUCUUGAGUGAGCGAGAAGUAGGCGGAAUGCGUGGUGUAGCGGUGAAAUGCAUAGAUAUCACGCAGAACUCCGAUUGCGAAGGCAGCAUACCGGCGCGCAACUGACGCUCAUACACGAAAGUGUGGGUAUCGAACAGGAUUAGAUACCCCGGUAGUC